GCGGCGUGGCGCUGACGUCACCGGGGCGGUCGCCGGGAGCCCGCGCACCGGGACCCCCGGGAGGAACUGCCGGGAACCACCGGGAAUUACCGGGAAUUAGCGGGGGCUGCUCCGGGAGGAGCCCCCGGGCACGGCGGGGCCCCGCGCGGCUCCAGGGACCGCCGCGAUGCGCAGCGGAGCAUCCCGGAGAGGCGCGGGAAUGCCCCGGGCAGGGCAGCUGGAAUGGAGCUGGCUCCUAGAAAGGCUGAAUGCUUGGAGUCAGAAAAUUCCCUGCUGUCACAUCGUCCCUUGCCUUGGAGCUGGGCUCAGGCUUACAGUGAUUCCUGUUGCACACUCUUCCCAUCCCAGCACGUCUGAGCUUCAUCACUCUGGGCUGAAUCAGACCUGUCUGAUCAUUCACCCUCCUGUCACAGAAGAAGCAAAGGAUGCAGCAAGGCUCAGAGGAUGUUGGGAUUCCUGGAAAUGUUUCCAGAUGAAGGAAAGCACACGUUGGCAAUGUCACCCACCCCAGUGCUGCUGUCGGAGCAGCACUGGGCACCGAGGAACUCUUUCUGUCUUGGAGCAGACAAUGAAGUUUCUGUAGGGGCUUUAAAUCACUAAAUGUUGAAAGGAAUUCCCCGACGACUUCAUCAGUCACUGUGUAAGAUUGUUAGAGAUCUCCACCAGCUAAUAAAUUUGAUUUGGGGUUUGUUUUGCUGGCA
rnacentral:lncRNA from 1 species